rnacentral:rRNA from 1 species
GACGAAUACUACUGGGGGUAGAGCACUGUUAAGGCUAGGGGGUCAUCCCGACUUACCAACCCUUUGCAAACUCCGAAUACCAGUAAGUACUAUCCGGGAGACACACGGCGGGUGCUAACGUCCGUCGUGGAGAGGGAAACAACCCAGACCGCCAGCUAAGGUCCCAAAGUAUUGCUAAGUGGGAAACGAUGUGGGAAGGCUCAGACAGCUAGGAUGUUGGCUUAGAAGCAGCCAUCAUUUAAAGAAAGCGUAAUAGCUCACUAGUCGAGUCGGCCUGCGCGGAAGAUGUAACGGGGCUAAGCAAUACACACCGAAGCUGCGGCAAUGUCUUUUAGACAUUGGGUAGGGGAGCGUUCUGUAAGCCGUUGAAGGUGAAUCGUAAGGUUUGCUGGAGGUAUCAGAAGUGCGAAUGCUGACAUGAGUAACGACAAAGGGGGUGAAAAACCUCCUCGCCGGAAGACCAAGGGUUCCUGUCCAACGUUAAUCCGGGGCAGGGUGAGUCGACCCCUAAGGUGAGGCCGAAAGGCGUAAUCGAUGGGAAACGGGUUAAUAUUCCCGUACUUCUGACUAUUGCGAUGGGGGGACGGAGAAGGCUAGGUGGGCCAGGCGACGGUUGUCCUGGUUCAAGUGCGUAGGCUUGAGAGUUAGGUAAAUCCGGCUCUCUCUAAGGCUGAGACACGACGUCGAGCUACUACGGUAGUGAAGUCAUUGAUGCCAUGCUUCCAGGAAAAAGCCUCUAAGCUUCAGAUAGUCAGGAAUCGUACCCCAAACCGACACAGGUGGUCGGGUAGAGAAUACCAAGGCGCUUGAGAGAACUCGGGUGAAGGAACUAGGCAAAAUGGUACCGUAACUUCGGGAGAAGGUACGCUCUUGAUGGUGAAGUCCCUCGCGGAUGGAGCUGACGAGAGUCGCAGAUACCAGGUGGCUGCAACUGUUUAUUAAAAACACAGCACUGUGCAAAAUCGCAAGAUGACGUAUACGGUGUGACGCCUGCCCGGUGCCGGAAGGUUAAUUGAUGGGGUUAGCGCAAGCGAAGCUCUUGAUCGAAGCCCCGGUAAACGGCGGCCGUAACUAUAACGGUCCUAAGGUAGCGAAAUUCCUUGUCGGGUAAAGUUCCGACCUGCACGAAUGGCGUAAUGAUGGCCACGCUGUCUCCACCCGAGACUCAGUGAAAUUGAAAUCGCUGUGAAGAUGCAGUGUACCCGCGGCUAGACGGAAAGACCCCGUGAACCUUUACUACAGCUUGGCACUGAACAUUGAACCUACAUGUGUAGGAUAGGUGGGAGGCUAUGAAGACGUGACGCCAGUUGCGUUGGAGCCGUCCUUGAAAUACCACCCUUGUAUGUUUGAUGUUCUAACUUAGACCCAUUAUCUGGGUUGAGGACAGUGCCUGGUGGGUAGUUUGACUGGGGCGGUCUCCUCCCAAAGAGUAACGGAGGAGCACGAAGGUGGGCUAAUCACGGUUGGACAUCGUGAGGUUAGUGCAAUGGCAUAAGCCCGCUUAACUGCGAGAAUGACGGUUCGAGCAGGUGCGAAAGCAGGUCAUAGUGAUCCGGUGGUUCUGUAUGGAAGGGCCAUCGCUCAACGGAUAAAAGGUACUCCGGGGAUAACAGGCUGAUACCGCCCAAGAGUUCAUAUCGACGGCGGUGUUUGGCACCUCGAUGUCGGCUCAUCACAUCCUGGGGCUGAAGUCGGUCCCAAGGGUAUGGCUGUUCGCCAUUUAAAGUGGUACGCGAGCUGGGUUUAGAACGUCGUGAGACAGUUCGGUCCCUAUCUGCCGUGGGCGUUGGAAGAUUGAAGGGGGCUGCUCCUAGUACGAGAGGACCGGAGUGGACGAACCUCUGGUGUUCGGGUUGUGUCGCCAGACGCAUUGCCCGGUAGCUAAGUUCGGAAUUGAUAAGCGCUGAAAGCAUCUAAGCGCGAAGCGAGCCCUGAGAUGAGUCUUCCCUGACAGUUUAACUGUCCUAAAGGGUUGUUCGAGACUAGAACGUUGAUAGGCAGGGUGUGUAAGCGUUGUGAGGCGUUGAGCUAACCUGUACUAAUUGCCCGUGAGGCUUAACCAU